rnacentral:lncRNA from 1 species
GGGGGGCUGCGGCCGCGGCAGCUGCUCGCUUAUUUUUAGAGCAUUUCCAUUCCUCCGGUUAAUUUUAGAUCGAUUCAUUAUUUAGCCCCAGUUCGCCUUCAGGGAAACCCAAGCUGGGGGGGAGGCCGGAGCCCCGCGGGACUGUGCGGGGCUGCCCCCAGCCGGGGCGCUGCGGGACUCGGUGGGUGCGGGCAGCCCUGUCCCCAGGGAGGGGGAGACCCAGCCUCUGGGAUGGGGUUUGGAUGGUGGGCAUGGACACGGAGAGAGGUGAGAAAGGAAUCCUGCAGGAUUCACCCUCCUGGGGGCUGUGCCAUGUCCCCCUCAUCCAUCCCUGGCUUUUACUUCUCUGGAAUAAUGGCUAAAUAUCCUUCCUCCUGGAAACCCAAGAGGAGUCACCCAUUGAGACCCACCUCCAGGACUGCUGGUAUUCAAGGACUUCUCCUGUGCCUGGUGGAGCCAGCAGGACCCUUGGCAUUGGCAGAGCUGGAACACAACUAG